UAGGGAAUAUUAGAAAUGGCCGAAAGUCUGAUCUAGCAACACCGCGUGUGCGAAGAAGGCCUUCGGGUUGUAAAGCACUUUUUGGAAGGAUUAGGAAGGAAUGUCCUUCCAGAAUAAGUCUCGGCUAACUCCGUGCCAGCAGCCGCGGUAACACGUAGGAGGCAAACGUUAUCCGGCUUUACUGGGCGUAAAGCGCGUGUAGGUGGUUCUGUAAGUAGGGCGUGAAAGCUCCUGGCUCAACUGGGAGAGGCCGUUCUAAACUGCAGAGCUAGAGGAUGGUAGAGGGAGGUGGAAUUCCGGGUGUAGCGGUGGAAUGCGCAGAUAUCCGGAGGAACACCAGUGGCGAAAGCGGCCUCCUGGACCAUUCCUGACACUCAGACGCGAAAGCUAGGGUAGCAAACG
rnacentral:rRNA from 1 species